rnacentral:rRNA from 1 species
AAAUUGAAGAGUUUGAUCAUGGCUCAGAUUGAACGCUGGCGGCAGGCCUAACACAUGCAAGUCGAACGGUAACAGGAAGCAGCUUGCUGCUUCGCUGACGAGUGGCGGACGGGUGAGUAAUGUCUGGGAAACUGCCUGAUGGAGGGGGAUAACUACUGGAAACGGUGGCUAAUACCGCAUAACGUCGCAAGACCAAAGAGGGGGACCUUCGGGCCUCUUGCCAUCAGAUGUGCCCAGAUGGGAUUAGCUUGUUGGUGAGGUAACGGCUCACCAAGGCGACGAUCCCUAGCUGGUCUGAGAGGAUGACCAGCCACACUGGAACUGAGACACGAUCCAGACUCCUACGGGAGGCAGCAGUGGGGAAUAUUGCACAAUGGGCGCAAGCCUGAUGCAGCCAUGCCGCGUGUAUGAAGAAGGCCUUCGGGUUGUAAAGUACUUUCAGCGGGGAGGAAGGUGUUG